UUUUGCAUCGGGGGCGGCCUAGCGGUUGCCAGCGCGCCGGGGAGGGAGCGUUCUGCCUGAGGCCUCACACGGCGAUAACGAAUGUUCAGCCCGUUGGAAACAAACUGCGUCUGCACUAUGCGGUCAGGAUUUGACCGUUGUUUGGGCGCUGUUGAAAAGCCAGAGAAGCUGACAGAUGGAGAGUUCCCACCACUCGUCGGACGGUUUAGCCCUUCCCAACACAUGACGCGUUACAAGUCAUCCGGUCACCGGUCAGAAGCGGCCUGCUCCUGUUGAAUACACCGGCGCUGCAGACCUCUGCUCAGCCACGUGCAGGAGUGAUGCUGGGAUCCAGGGAUACAGAUGCAGCAGAGGAGUCCAGACUGUGGUUAAAAAACAAACCAAAACCACAUUAAUCUCAGAUUGAAUUCAUAGGGGUUAUGGUUUAAAAGCCACAGACUGCCACCUCAAACUGUGUGGAAAUGUAUAGCUAGAAGGGAUUUUAAAUAAACUGCACUGAUCCUGUCUCCUGAUUGCAGGCAAUAGAAAAAAAGGAGA